UUCUUGCUGGAGAUUCCUGCUUACCUGUGGCCCUCUGAGGAUUGAGAGUAAUUGCAAAUAAUAGUAACAGUGCUGUAAACUGUGACUAGAACAAGAUGGAGCCACUCACUUGGAAAUCUUGAGGCGACUGCAUCUCAGCCUGGAGUCUGAGACAGCUGUGGGCUUUCAAAUGUCAGGGGAUAGUUGACUGGAAGUUGGAGUGCAAUGAAAUGGAGCAUGCAACCUCUCUCAUUCCUGUAAUAUGAAGUUUCAUAGCAGCUACUAACAUAGCUUUUGGACUGAACAGGUUUGCUCUUUUUGGCACUGUAUUGAAAGUAAGUGGCUUGGACAGAGAAUGAUCCAGCUGGGUAGUAAGCAUGGCCUUGUUAAGUGUGCAGUUACAGGAUCAAAGAAUCACAGAAUGGCUUGGGUUGGAAGAGUCUUUAAAUGUCAUGUACUUCCAGUUGCCUACCACUAGAUUGGGCUGCUCUGGGCUCCAUCCAAACUGGCUUAAGGGUCCUUGGUGUCUUCCCUAAUUCAUAUCAACCUAGGGAUCUCUCAUUACACAGCAAGAUUUUGCAAAUCACUCAUUUAUUCAAAGUUUUGUUUGAAUAAAUAUGCAAUGUUGUCAUUUUAUAAGUGUGUAAUAUAUAUUACCUUCUAUAAUGACAAGUUUAUAUUUGAAAGUAGAAGUUGCAGUGUAAAAUUUAAAUCUCUUGUGCUGAUACAAUGCCCCUGAAAUGCUGGUUUGGCUUUAAUGCACUGAUGUUAAUAUAGUGAAAAGAUGUGAAAGUUGGAGAACAGGGCAUAAUACAAAAAGUUAACAGCUUUUCAGAGUAGUACUUUAUAGCUGGGAAAAAAAAAAAAGACUCUCUUAUCUAUAUUUUUAAUUUUUUAUCUCUGCUUUUAAUAGGAGUACUCUGCACAUCUGUUUCAGCCAUCACUAACCAAAUUUACUUUAUUUUAUUUGAUUGAGGGUUAAAUUGGACUUCAGAGCUAACGUGAAUUUGCUUAUCUGCUUGGUCAGUGGGAUUUGGAAUAGCAAUUCAUUAUAACGCAUUGUUCUUUAUUGAUAAUUCACAAAUGGCUUAGAGAUUUAGGUUUUACUAUCUUAUUCUGAAAUCCUCUCUUCGUACAUAUUGCCGCUAUCCAUUAGAUUUGAUCACAAAGUACAAAUUAGUUUCCUAAGUAAAUGAAAAACUGUCAGACUUCUAGGGAAUCAACUGUAGAAAUUCAUAGGAAAAAAAA
ensembl:lncRNA